rnacentral:antisense_RNA from 1 species
GGGUGCUUAGGGCUGUCUGCUUUAUACCCUUCAUAUUUCAAGCGGCAUUUUUGUUGGCCACUUUCGUUCACCCGAAUCACUUACUUGAGUAAGCUCAUCGGGAUUCACUCACUUGCCGCCUCAAUGCCGCUCGAACUAUUUUGGGUAUAUGCAUUAGUUGAAAGCAGAUAGAAAAAAGCCCCACCCGACUAUAAAUCGAAGUGAGGCUCAAUCUUAUGCAAGACAACAUGAGGUUAGUCUCUUACCCGCCGCAAGGCAAGGAAAAGGAGGCCGGAGAUG